rnacentral:lncRNA from 1 species
AUCAGACACUCCCAUUUACUUCCGCAUGGACACUCACCUUGCUGGGCCCAGGUCCUUAGACUGGUUCCUGUUUCUAGGUCCCAGGCCAUUUCUGGAUUCAAGAUUUCCCUUUAGAAAAAUACUUUCUUCCAUGCAAGGCAGUGCCUUCAAGGCCUUUAUUUUCUGUCUGCUCAGCUUAUUAUGGACUACUCUUGAGGACAUGAAGAUUCUUACGUGUGUAAUGAGAUGUACCAAACCGCAACAUUCUUGGGUGCAGAGAACCAGCAAAAAUUGAAAGUUUCACAUCAACACACACUUGGUGAGGAGGACAACGUGGCAAUGUAUAUCAAAAUUUGGCUGUCUCAAAUGUCAAAAUGAUGGAGAGGACAGAGAGACUGAAAUCUGAGGACAGAUAGAGAAGAGGAGACUUCUUCAGGCUGGAAGAAUCAAGACUGCAGAGUAUGUGAAGGCCCAGAGAGGAUGAAACAGAAAACAAGGACCGGGCCCUAACCCUGGAUCAGCCCAUGAAGGUUGUCCACUUUGCCUCUGAGAGAGGCAGGUUAGGGACAAGUAAGUACUAUUUACCCAGGAGGCAGUGAAUCUAGGGAACUCCCAAGAAGUGACAUAAGGGCUGGGCGCGGUGGCUUACACCUGUAAUCCUAGUACUUUGGGAGGCCAAGGCGGACGGAUUGCCUGAGCUCAGGAGUUCAAGACCAGCCUGGGCAACACAGUGAAAUCCCGUCUCUACUAAAAUACAAAAGAAAUUAGCUGGGCGUGGUGGUGUGUGCUUGUAG